AUUUUGCGAUAGGGAUAGCAGCGGAUAUCCUUCUGAAGAAAUGGCUAAAGCGAUGGACAGAAGAUAGCAGCGAAUAGCCCGACCGCAA
rnacentral:sRNA from 1 species